CAGUAUGUUGGUGGAGUGUUGCUGGGAAGAAUGAAGUACUUCCACAGUAUGUUGGUGGAGUGUUGCUGGGAAGAAUGAAGUACUUCCACAGUAUGUUGGUGGAGUGUUGCUGGGAAGAAUGAAGUACUUCCACAGUAUGUAUGGUGACCAGAGCAAGCUCUUGAGUUCGUUGUCACUAUUCCAACAGAUGUUGGGGUUAGGGGAGGAUUGGGUUUGGAGGGUAAUGGAAUAUUAAAGUAUUGAGUGUAGUGUAGGUGAGUGGUAGGUACAGAUGAUACCUGUAACCUACACUUCAGAAUAAGGAGUGUGUAGUGUAGGUGAGUGGUAGGUACAGAUGAUACCUGUAACCUACACUUCAGAAUAAGGAGUGUGUAGUGUAGGUGAGUGGCAGGUACAGAUGAUACCUGUAACCUACACUUCAGAAUAAGGAGAGUGUAGUGUAGGUGAGUGGCAGGUACAGAUGAUACCUGUAACCUACACUUCAGAAUAAGGAGAGUGUAGUGUAGGUGAGUGGCAGGUACAGAUGAUACCUGUAACCUACACUUCAGAAUAAGGAGAGUGUAGUGUAGGUGAGUGGCAGGUACAGAUGAUACCUGUAACCUACACUUCAGAAUAAGGAGAGUGUAGUGUAGGUGAGUGGCAGGUACAGAUGAUACCUGUAACCUACACUUCAGAAUAAGGAGAGUGUAGUGUAGGUGAGUGGCAGGUACAGAUGAUACCUGUAACCUACACUUCAGAAUAAGGAGUGUGUAGUGUAGGUGAGUGGUAGGUACAGGUGAUGAGCCAGGGUGUGAGUGGUAGGUACAGGUGAUGAACCAGGGUGUGAGUGGUAGGUACAGUGGUAGGUACAUGUGAUGAGCCAGGGUGUGAGUGUGAGGUACAGGUGAUGAGCCAGGGUGUGAGUGGUAGGUACAGGUGAUGAGCCAGGGUGUGAGUGGUAGGUACAGUGGUAGGUACAUGUGAUGAGCCAGGCUGUGAGUGGUAGGUACAGGUGAUGAGCCAGGCUGUGAGUGGUAGGUAGAGGUGAUGAGCCAGGGUGUGAGUGGUAGGUACAGGUGAUGAGCCAGGCUGUGAGUGGUAGGUAGAGGUGAUGAGCCAGGGUGUGUUGGAUGAAUGAGAUGACCCCUCACUAGAGUUGAGAUGCGGAUUAAGAAUGGGGAAUGGCUUUGUUAGAGGCUUGUACACCACUGUGGAGGAUAGUUCACACUAUAGAAUGCCUGCCUGUGUUUGUGCAUGUGCAGAUUAUUGCCUUGUUUUAUCAUUUGUACUCUUGUUUCUGUUUUUCA